AUGACCUUCGCGGAGGGGUGGGGGCGGGGGGGGAGCAACCAAGGGCCAGGGAUGUUGCCCAGCAAGACCGCGGCCUCACUGCGCCACCGGAGGAACAGCCACCGACGAGGCCCGGCGGACCCAGGCGCCGCCACCCACCCAUGCCCGCGGCGGGCCUGCGGGAGCGCAGGGGCCGAGGCCGUGAAGCCGGGCAGCCAGCCUUGCACCAUUGACAGCCGGGGCACGUCUGCGGAGCCCGGGGGAACAAUCAACGGACUCUAUGUCCCGGGAGCUGGGGACACGCCUGUAAGGCCUUUCUGCCUGCUCAUAGCCACUGGGAGAAAAAUCAAGCGUAAGCACCUCUCCCUAUGUUAUGUAACACAUUCACACAGGGUUCCUCAAGUUACCAUUUUGCCGCAAAUCAGCCGGCACAGGGUUUUCUGGCCUUGGGGUGGGGGUGAGAGUGUCAGGGUGAGGCUAAUAGAGGUGUGUGUGUGUGGGGGGGGGGGGUUCAUUCCCUGGAGACUUUUAUUCCCUUCCUUGAAGCCCAGUUCAAGGCCCAGGAACAAAGUGGGGAAGUAACUGAUCUGUCUUUUGGUCUCUCCCCUCCCUUUCACCCCCUGCCUUGUAGGUCUUCCUCUUUGAUAAAUAGAGGAAAGCCGGUGGGAUCAGGUACAUAUAUAAAUAGUGUUGACCUCCUCGGCCCCUCCUCAUUGAAAAGCAGAAAGCCCAUUACAGGGGCAGGUUGCUCAGUGCCUUUGAGUAUCCACCAUUACCACCCCGUGGACUUUACUGGACCCCAGACUACUUACUUGGCAUCCCUGUCUUGUUGAAAACAUCCAGGACAACUAUUAAAUAGUUCUCAGAAGAAUUAAAGACAUUCUUCAGGUCUGAAACAUUUUUAAAGCCCUGGAUGAAAUCUUCAAGGAGCACAAAGUAUAAUCGGUGGGACCACCUGAGGAAGUCUGAAAGCUUUGUCCCCCACCCCUCCCCAAAGUUAAUCAAAGAUACUGUAGACGUCAUUGUGCUCACUAAGGGGUUUUUCCGCAUUGUAACCUACAGAUUGUCCAGACCAAGCUACCAAGACAUUUAUUUUCAUUUUGUUAGUUUCUGGGCACUACACUUUCUGAUUAGACUUGUUUAUUUUUAAAAACUCUGCUGGAGAGUUUCCAACCUUGGAGGUGCAAAUGAAAACAACUCUCCCUCCCAGGUUCUUACAGGGUGGGGGAGGAGCACAAACCCGUCUGGUCCCAACUCAGACCUGGAGGUUGCCCGUCUGAACCUGGGUGGAGUGAGGGUAGCUGGUUCGGGCACCUUGUAUUUCAGUGCUGGCACAAAGCGAGCUCUUUGAAAUGAAUAUCUAUUCUAUUUCAGUGUGCAAUGUUCCAGCCGACUAAAUGGGCUUGCCUUCUGCCGAGAGGCAGUCCUGGAGGACACAACUAAUGUGCAAUCUCCCAGGCAGCUCUUCAUCAGAACAUCCCUUGUCCUUUUGUUUUUGUUUUCGUAUUAAAAGAUGUUUUUGCUUUCCUCUCAGUGUCCGUCCUGUUAUUUUGUAGCUACAACAAUGAAACAGGAACAGUUUAUCAUUCUUUUUUGUCCUUUGUAACCAUGCCUUGUAUUGGGAUGUCACAAAGCCCCAGAUACACCUCAGCGUGCCCUGUGCUUUUGAUGUUUACUUGCUACUCCCCGGGUCACCCAGAGACCCACACUUGAUUCUGCCUUCUGCCCCUCCCAGAUGGUUCUCUCCUGGACAAGGUCCCUCUCCCAGCUUGCAGGGAAAGGGGAUUCACUAAUUUGCUUCUCAAAUUAGAAAAGACCAAACCCAGGUUCUCCAGGUAAGUGAUUCUGGCUUAUACUGGUGACUAAGAUGUUGUAUGGGAGCAUCUCCCCAGGAUCACGUCUCUCAAGGAGAGAGAACGGCAGGCACGUUUCCACAGACAUUUCUAAAACUAUGGCAACUAAGUGAGUUUUACGGAUAAAAUUCUGGUGUAUUCCCAGGCAGCUCAAGUUAUUUAAAUUUUAGUUUUGUUCACAUGUAUGGGCGCACACAGGCCAACUAGGAUUAUGUUACCAGCGCAUUGCCACUGGACAAGUCUGGUGACAGCAACUCAGAUCAACAAACUUAUUUUCUGGAGAGUGACAAAGAAAAAAAAAGGCUCCCCAUACCUUUAAAAUUGUUAUUUUAUACUGUUUAACACCCCCCACAGCCAGGAAUUGGCCAGACUUCCCUGCUUCCUUUUCUAGGAACAGGUAACUAACCACUCUCCCCUCCUCCAAGACUUGGCUAUUUUUAAAAGCUAAAAUUUCUCUUUCCAAAGGGAGGAAAAGGAACGAAUUCCAUUAAUGAAUUACGUACACGGAAUGUGACUUGUCUGGGACAAUUGUAUUUGUAAAUAAAUGGCUUCCUGUUGAUUAUGUACCUUUUACUGAAAAAUGAACUCUAAUGUCUCUGAGCACUUAACAGAGCACAUAUUUCAACUUAUGGUUUACUUUCCACUUGUUCUUUUUUUUUAACUCACUAGAAAGAAAUCGGGUAAAAACUGAGUCAGUCGAGGUGUGGGGGUCGUUAUCCUUCAGCGUCCAUACUGACCUGGGGAAGAGCCACCUCUAAAGUUCUCACGUUUGUCAAAGUGUAAGCAAAGGGGGGUGGCUCCCUGGGAAUGUUAUUGGAACCAAUCUGGAGAGUUUCACUUUUGCCCCUGGGUCUUUGUAAAGAGGACCGCGGCCUCCUUUUGCAGCUUCCAAAGCGAAGCCGGCGCGGAAUCGUCUCGGCGG
rnacentral:lncRNA from 1 species